rnacentral:rRNA from 1 species
GAAUCAGCUCUGUCUCGCGAAUGCCUUCAGNUUAAGUUUGAUCAUGGCUCAGACCGAANGCGUACGGCAGGCCUAACACAUGCAAUGUCGAGCGGCAGCACAAGUAAGUAUUACUUAUGAGGUGGCGAGCUGGCGGACGGGUGAGUAAUGCCUAGGGAUCUGCCCAGUCGAGGGGGAUAACAGUUGGAAACGACUGCUAAUACCGCAUACGCCCUACGGGGGAAAGAGGGGGACCUUCGGGCCUCUCGCGAUUGGAUGAACCUAGGUGGGAUUAGCUAGUUGGUGAGGUAAUGGCUCACCAAGGCGACGAUCCCUAGCUGUUCUGAGAGGAUGAUCAGCCACACUGGGACUGAGACACGGACNCCAGACUCCUACGGGAGGCAGCAGUGGGUGAAGUAUUAGCACAAUGGGNGGAACACNCCUGAUGCAGACACAUGCCGCGUGUGUUGAAGCAAGUNGGCCUUUCCGGGUUCUAG